rnacentral:rRNA from 1 species
AACAACUCUAGAGCUAAUACAUGCCUCGAUGCCCUGACUCUGUUCUCCUAUAGUCAUCUGGCUGUAGUUGUAGGCAGGGGAAGGGUGCACUUAUUACAUCAGAAGCCAACCGGCUUGCGUGUCUAUUGGAGCACUUUUGGUGACUCUGGAUAAUUGUUACAGAUCGCAGUCGGUCUUGAGUCGGCCACGAGUCUUUCAAAUGUCUGCCCUAUCAACUUUCGACGGUAGGUGACAUGCCUACCGUGGUGAUCACGGGUAACGGGGAAUCAGGGUUCGAUUCCGGAGAGGGAGCCUGAGAAACGGCUACCACUUCCUAGGGAGGCAGCAGGCGCGCAAAUUACCCACUUCCAGCACGGAGAGGUGGUGACGAAAAAUACUGAUGCGGGACUCUUAAAUGAGGCCCCGUAAUCGGAAUGAGUGGACUAUAAAUCCUUUCACAAGGAUCAAUUGGAGGGCAAGUCUGGUGCCAGCAGCCGCGGUGACUCCAGCUCCUAUAGCGUAUAUAAAAGUUGCUGCAGUUAAAAAGCGCGUAGUUCGAUCUCGGUAGCAUUGUUGCCUGUCGAUAUUUGAGCGGAUAGUGUGUGUAUCGUGGCAUACUCUCGCUGUGUAUGCUCUCUCACUUGUCAAUAGUUCACCUGCCGAUUUGCCAGUGGUGGUGCAGUCUAUGCCACUAAAACACACUGUCGUGUGACCCUCGCUCGAUGUGCAAGCAUACGUCGGCCAAAACCCCAAGUUUAAGUAGCUGGAGA